CUUCAGUCCACAAAGAGAGGAGGAAGGGAGGGGAGGAGCUGAGAUCGGCAGUUAAGUACAGUGUAAGAGGUGUAGGUAUGAGCUGGAAGGCUGUGCCUGGGGUUCAGAUGCGAGCCUGUGCUUCUCAGGAGAAUUGCUGAUGGAUGCCCCUGACUGGGUUGGGAGAAGCUGGGCAGGAGUAGAGGGAAAGAACUGAUGCGACCCAGGUGGUUACAGGAAGGAGGUAAAGGAAGCUAGAAGGUUAAGGGGGGCGGAGUCACUUUCUAUGAGCAACAAAGGGAAAUCUGGGAGUGCAGGAACCUGGAAGGUCAUGUGGUAUAGAAAGGGAAGAGAGACAACUCUGAAAACUGUAAAACAAGCUGCCGCUGUGGUCUGAAUCAAGUCCUUUAGAAGCUCGCUGAGAAAUCUUCUCUUCCUUCCCAAGUCUCCUUCAAUCCCAUAGAGAACCAACACAAGAGGGAAAGAGGAAGAGUCGGAGCAGAGUCUCUUCCUAAAAGCCACCAUCUGUGGGCGUGAGUGUCUUUGGUCCACGGAUUUCUCCUAAGACCCAUGAUGAUUUUGAUGAGAGAGUAUUGAUUUUAUGGUUCAUUGCCUCCAUGGAAGAUGCUGAGACACGUUUCAUGAGAGUCGUCAAAGGGUCCCAAAGGAUCGAGCAACUUGUGGUCUGAAGCUCUGCUUUGAGGGGACCCAUCACACAAAAUGCUUGUACAACUGUAUGCAGCAGCCUGGACCGUAACCUCUGACCCCAUCUGCUUCAGGUUCGCCUUAAAGAGACCCAUUUGUCGUGGGCGCUUUACAAGAUACACAGCCACUUCACAUUUCUGAGUUCCAGCAUCCUCUUUUAAAUUGGAAGAUUUAAGACAAAAUAAAAGAAGGAGGUGGAGAAGAAGAAAGGACAGAGACUAUAUGUGGACUGCAAAGUUUAAAAUAUUUACUAGCUGGCCCCUUAUGGAAAACGUUUGCUGAGCCUGGAGCUACAGGGGAGAGAAAAGUUAACUGGAGGCCGAGGACAAUGGUUCCUUCUCUUUGCUCUUUAGGCUAGCAAGCCAGAUGUGUCAACAGGUUCUCUUUGACUGGCAUUCACAUGUCACUCAAUCAGAAAGGAGUUUAAAUUUUUACUAGCUUAUACCAACCCCACCCAGCGAAAUUAAGUAUGAGGAAGAGUUUGCUGAAACACUGCGCCAGAACCCCUAAGUCAGGACACUCGGAGGCUGUUGACCUUGACAAAUUGAAAUGGCAAGCAAUAGGAUAUAUUGGAGUAUAUGAGGAAGCCAUUUGGUGUAAACCUAAUUCGGCCUGACUUUGUUUUCCCAAAAGGGCCUGACUGUGGCCGUUGAGCACACAUUGUAUAUCUGCUUUAAAACAUUUCCUAUGGUAAGAACAAAUGGCCUUAAGAUAAAGGUGCAACUUCCCCCCAUAUUGGCAUUUCCUUAAGGAUAAGCGUCUUUCCUUAGGCUAGGAACUGAUUGCUGCGCUCACCUUUGACCACCCAGCUCACCUGUGACCACCCAGCUCGAGACAACAGACCUGCCACCCUGCUGUGUUCACCGAGACAGCAGACCUACCUGCUGUUUCCAUCAAUCGCUGUGCCGACAGAGCAGUCUCGCAACUGUUGUAAAAAGGACAUUUCAAUCAUAUGUGAAACAUCCUGUUUGGGGGUGUAUAACUACUCUGUGCAUCUCACUUCUUUGGUGCCCUUUCUUCCUUCGGGAAGAAAGGCCCCGGGCCAUGGUCCUCAGAUUUUAGCUCAGAAUAAACUCACCCAAAUUUUCAUUUAUAGAUUGGUUAUGGGUUAUUUUCGUCAACAACAUCAAUCAUGCUAUGAACUGGACUUUUCAGAAAUAUAAGAAG
ensembl:lncRNA